CCUACGGGAGGCAGCAGUGAGGAAUAUUGGUCAAUGGGCGUAAGCCUGAACCAGCCAAGUCGCGUGAGGGAAGACGGCCCUAUGGAUUGUAAACCUCUUUUGUCUGGGAGCAAUGCGGGCCACGUGUGCCCGUAUGGAGAGUACCUGUAGAAUAAGCAUCGGCUAACUCCGUGCCAGCAGCCGCGGUAAUACGGGGGAUGCGAGCGUUAUCCGGAUUUAUUGGGUUUAAAGGGUGCGUGGGCGGAUUUUCAAGUCAGCGGUAAAAUGUCCGGGCUCAACGUCGGACUGCCGUUGAAACUGGCGGUCUUGAGUGGGCGAGAAGUAUGCGGAAUGCGUGGUGUAGCGGUGAAAUGCAUAGAUAUCACGCAGAACUCCGAUUGCGAAGGCAGCAUACCGGCGCCCAACUGACGCUGAGGCACGAAAGCGUGGGUAUCGAACAGGAUUAGAUACCCGAGUAGUC
rnacentral:rRNA from 1 species